rnacentral:rRNA from 1 species
UACGGGGGGGGGCAAGCGUUGUUCGGAAUUACUGGGCGUAAAGGGCUCGUAGGUGGCCAACUAAGUCAGACGUGAAAUCCCUCGGCUUAACCGGGGAACUGCGUCUGAUACUGGAUGGCUUGAGUUCGGGAGAGGGAUGCGGAAUUCCAGGUGUAGCGGUGAAAUGCGUAGAUAUCUGGAGGAACACCGGUGGCGAAGGCGGGUCUCUGGACAGUUCCUGACACUGAGACACGAAGGCCAGGGGAGCAAACGGG